rnacentral:lncRNA from 10 species
GGUAGGUUUUCAAUACACUUUAAUAAAAUAGUGAAAAAUAGGUAUCUCUAGGAUAGUGAACUAUGGGACUACAAAGGGCAGGACGAUACAUUUUACUUGGUUAAAUUCGCUUAAUGCUUACUCCUUUCUCAAAGCGCCAACCAAGAAUUUGGCUACUAAAUAAAGAAAAAAGCUGUUAGUGGCUCUUUAUCCGCCACGAUAGGGUGCUCUGAAACCCGGUCCUGCAGACAUUCCCUUGGCCCACAUUUUAUAGCUUCCUUCUCAGUCUCAAGGCCUGUAGUCUACUGUUCACACUCGAGCCUCUCGCAAAAUACACAAGCUCAAAAGCUCAUGGCGUUCUCCCCAUCUGGCAUUCUCGGCCUUAGAAUAGCAAACGUUAGGGCACCAUUAGGUUCAUAGUUGCCAGACCCUUCAUUUUCUUUUUUAAUCUUUAAUUUUCUUCUUAACAAGGAAGACAUUCCGCAAAAAAUAAACUCCCUCUUUUGAGCUCCUUUCUCUGAAGAUGGUAACUGGAACUCUCAUUAGUAAAGAACCUCGAGUUCCAGUUGCUUUGGACGGAGUUUCUCGCUUAGUAUUUUGCUCUUUGGCAGUUUGAAAAGCAGUAAUCUUCCAACUUCGCAGCUCCCUGCACUCGCGCCUACCACCCUGAUCUAUUUGGCUUUCUCCUUUUUGGAGCCACUUUAAAAGGUGCAGGGUGCUGGGCCGCUGUGGCCUCGGGCUGAGAGGCGGGGAGUUGGUGUCCGGGACCAGAAAGUUUGGCAGAAGCCACGGCUCUGGGCCCAGGCCCCGGGCUUCCAGAGAAGUGUGUCAUUAUUUGUUUUCUGCAAAGCCGCGAGCGGGCCCACGCUGCAGCUCUGCCUCCAGGCGUGGAACCCCUCGGUAAUCCGGGUGAAGCUGGGUUCCGAGUGUGGACUGCUUCGGCUCUGAGGAGGAGGGAGCCCAACGGGCCAGGCACGGGCUUCCUCCUGGCUUUACCCAUUGGCCCAGAGUCCCCGGUCCCGCCGCCGCUGCCCUCUGCUCACGGGGACCGGCCAUCACCGCGCUCCCAGCCUCGGCUCGCCGGGGGCUUCGCUACGCAAUGCGGCGGAAGCGGCCCGUUGGAGCCGCCGUAGCGCGGGAAGUUUCCGUUGCCACGGAGAUGACCUCUGACCCUAGGGCGUCUCUGGGACCCGGCAGCUUGUGCUGUUGUUGCUAUGGAAACCAUGGCGGCCGGAAGCCGCCGCGCGGGAGAGACUUGGGGCGCGGGUCGGGGCUAGGGCUCCUGCCCUGGCAGAGAUCUUCGCUCUUCCGUGGUGGCCGGGGACCGGGCAGUGAGCGGCCGGCUCUGCCGCCCGCGGGGCGCGGGUUUGCAAGGUCACUCCUCCGGCGUUGACGCGGGGGCACCCCAUGUGCACUGCUGGACCUGAGGGAUGGGAAAGCCACAGGUGGCUGCCUUGGCCCUCCCGGUCUGGCCUCCCGCUAGCGGGCGCCAGCUCUGGACCCGAGACCCAUCUGAAGGAAAGGGAAGGGAGCUGGCGUUGCUGGUGAUUCUGCCCAAGCUCAGGACUGGGAGAGAACGAGCCAAGUUCUGGUCUCAGCUUACACACUAGCUACUGGGAGACCCUGGGCGGGUCCUGAAGUUUUCUGGGCUUCAGUCCCCUCGGCUACUACAAGAAGGAUAUUGAUUAGAGUAAUCCCAGAUCAGCCCCAGCUCUAAUAUUCUAGGUUCCCAUAACGUUCACACCCAGUCCUGAUUGUGUGGCAACUCCUUCCCAGUGGAGGAAGCGACUGUUCCAAGAGCCAGUUUUGGAAUUGUAGGCACAAACACAGGUAGAAGCUUUGAGCCUUGGGUGAAGAAACGCGUAUUUUACUGGUGACACUAGGAAGAGCUCCUCAUGCGCUUCAUAGAAUUGUGUGGUUGGUGCUGAAAUAGAUGGCAUUCCAUUUAUCCAUUAUAUUCCCCAGAUACCUUUUCCUUAGACAGUUUUAAGAUUUUCGGGGUAGGGGAGGGUAUCUUCACUAGUUUAUUUUUCCUUCUCUCAUAUCCAUGCUAUUGGGAAAAAUCUUUCUUAAAUCUUUUUUAUAAACCUCAUUUGUAAAUUAAGAAGUUGAAAAAGAUUAUUUUCAGAGUUUAUUACAACUCUGAAAUUUAUGAAUUAUUUCUUUUAGGUCCACGUGCUUUUUAUCACUUUUUCAGUAACUACAAUCUCAAAAAAACAAAAAACAAAACUUAGUAAACACUUAAAAAGUGCUGCUGUGUUUGAACUGUUGAUGCUGGAGAUACAGGGGUGAAGAAGAGUUCUUCCUUCAAGGAAUUAGCAGGAAAGACAAAAGACAGGAUCAAUUAUGAUGUGGUGAACAAUUCUGUGUAGGUGGACCAAGGUGCUAUAGGGCCAAGGAAGAGGGGCAUGGAAAGGUUUCUGGAGGGAAUAAAACUCAGACUGAGUCAUGAAGAAUGACUAAGAGUUAGCCACGUGGUAAAGGCACUGGUUAGGCUGUCAAGGAAGAGAAAGAAGCAUACUUUAAGCUUUGGGGGCGUCAAAGAUUGUGGUGCAGACCGAGAAUAUCAAGUACAACUGAGAAAUAGAGGGUGUUUCUAGGGAGUGGCAGGUAGUGAGUGGGGUUGCAAGGUAGUGAGGCACAGAUCGUGAGCUCUCUUCUGUGUCAUGAUCAUAUCUACCCUUUAGACAACCAUUAUGACUACAGCGUGGAAAACAGCUCUGGGUUGGGCAAGGUUGAAGGUGGAAAGACCAGGGAGGAAGAGCAGUGAGCAGUGGUGAGCGGUCCAGAAUAAGGCAGUGACAGGCACUAGAGAGGAAGUGAAGUCCAUCCAUCUUAGUGGCCAGUUUGAAUUUGGGAAGGAAGUUGAAGGAGGAGUCUGGAAUUUUCUGAUUACAGGUUUUUGAUUUGGACAGUUCUGGUGAGCUAGUCUUCUGGCCAUUUGCCAACAGAACACUUCCAUCUUCUUGAGACAUGGUUGGCUGUCUUCUGACUGUUUAUAUUGAGGGGCCGAGGUAGCUUUUAACAGCAA